AUUGAACGCUGGCGGCAGGCCUAACACAUGCAAGUCGAACGAGUGGCGGACGGGUGAGUAAUGUAUGGGAAACUGCCUGAUGGAGGGGGAUAACUACUGGAAACGGUAGCUAAUACCGCAUACCAUCAGAUGUGCCCAGAUGGGAUUAGCUGGUUGGUGGGGUAACGGCUCACCAAGGCGACGAUCCCUAGCGGGUCUGAGAGGAUGACCAGCCACGCUGGAAAUGAGACACGGUCCCGACUCCUACGUGAGGCAGCAGUGGGGAAUAUUGCACAAUGGGCGCAAGCCUGAUGCAGCCAUGCCGCGUGUAUGAAGAAGGCCUUCGGGUUGUAAAGUACUUUCAGCGGGGAGGCGUUACCCGCAGAAGAAGCACCGGCUAACUCCGUGCCAGCAGCCGCGGUAAUAC
rnacentral:rRNA from 1 species